UUGAGCAUGUUCUAGUUCCAGUGUGAGGUCGGUGAAGUAAAUGUUCACUCUCACAGGUGCUCUUGCGUUUGUGGCUGGUGGACUGGUUCUUCUGUUACCUGAAACCAAAGGUGUGCCUCUUCCAGAAACCAUUGAGGACAUUGAAUGUCCAAACAGAAACAAAGAAAACCAUCUGAAGAGUCAACAGCUGCAGAAUUUGCUGCCCUCUGAUGUGACAU